rnacentral:rRNA from 1 species
GUGAGGAAUCUUCCACAAUGGGCGAAAGCCUGAUGGAGCAACGCCGCGUGAAGGAUGAAGGUCUUCGGAUUGUAAACUUCUUUUAUGAGUGAAGAAUAUGACGGUAACUCAUGAAUAAGCACCGGCUAACUACGUGCCAGCAGCCGCGGUCAUACGUAGGGUGCAAGCAUUAUCCGGAGUGACUGGGCGUAAAGAGUUGCGUAGGCGGUUAUGUAAGCGAAUAGUGAAACCUGGUGGCUCAACCACACAGACUAUUAUUCGAACUGCAUAACUCGGGAAUGGUAGAGGUAACUGGAAUUUCUUGUGUAGGAGUGAAAUCCGUAGAUAUAAGAAGGAACACCAAUGGCGUAGGCAGGUUACUGGGCCAUUUCUGACGCUAAGGCACGAAAGCGUGGGGAGCGAACCGGAUUAGAAACCCUUGUAGUCC